rnacentral:rRNA from 1 species
CCUACGGGAGGCAGCAGUGAGGAAUAUUGGUCAAUGGACGAGAGUCUGAACCAGCCAAGUAGCGUGAAGGAUGACUGCCCUAUGGGUUGUAAACUUCUUUUAUAUGGGAAUAAAAUGUUCCACGUGUGGGAUUUUGUAUGUACCAUAUGAAUAAGGAUCGGCUAACUCCGUGCCAGCAGCCGCGGUAAUACGGAGGAUCCGAGGGUUAUCCGGAUUUAUUGGGUUUAAUGGGAGCGUAGGUGGAUUGUUAAGUCAGUUGUGAAAGUUUGCGGCUCAACCGUAAAAUUGCAGUUGAAACUGGCAGUCUUGAGUACAGUAGAGGUGGGCGGAAUUCGUGGUGUAGCGGUGAAAUGCUUAGAUAUCACGAAGAACUCCGAUUGCGAAGGCAGUUCACUGGACUGCAACUGACACUGAGGCUCGAAAGUGUGGGUAUCAAACAGGAUUAGAUACCCUAGUAGUC